GUGUAAUUGUAUGUUUACAAAUGAGAGUAUUUGUCCUGCAGAUCAAUCCCAAAAAAUAUCCAAUCCACAUAAAUACACGGACGUGUUAUACCAUAAAACAAUAAGGAAAACAGAUAAUUAGAACAUGAACAAAAAUACAAUGUGAUCACACAAAAGCCGUAAUGUCUAAGUCAGUGUUAAGUCCAGAAUUCAAAAAGUCUUCAACGUAUGUAUACAUGUUUCUCGAUGGCAUACUUUUUGGAUAAUGUUGCUUUUCCUU